AUGGCAGGGACACUGAGGGUGGGCAGGCCCACACUGAUUGCAUCAUGUCACCUGGAGGGUAAGGGGACAUCCCUGGUCCUGGCUACUGCAUCCUCAUGGUGGGGACACAGCCCCAGGUCACCUUGUUGCCACAGGACACUGUGUCCCCUUGGCAUAGCCACCACCACAGGCCACUGCAUUACUCUGGGCCACCCUGUCCCCAUGGCAAGGUCACCACCCUUGGCCACCGUGUCCCCACGCUGUGGUCCUACAGCCAGGUGCAGAGCCAGGACAGCCUCAACACUGCUGUGGGACAGCAGCACUGUAUGGGGGGGUACAACACCCCAGGUGACACUGGCUGGAGUCCCUGAGGUGCUCCCUGUCCCUGUCCCCAAGCCCUGCAUGGGGAGGGGGUGCAGUGCAGCCCCUCAAACCAGCUCCACCCACCUGGGCACAAAGCUCCAAAGUGCCACGUUUGGGAGUGCAGGAGUUGGGAAAGGGAUAAAGGCGGGAGGCGGCAGCAGCAGUGGCUGCCGUGGUUGUGGUGGUUGUGAUGGCAGCAAUGGCAGCGGUGAUUCCAGUGGCAACAGUGACUCCAAUGGUAGUGGUGAUGGCCGCAGUGGCUGUGGUGGCAGUGGUGGCUGCAGUGGUGACAAGAGUGGCUGUCACAGCUGCAGUGGUUGCGGUGGUGGCUGCAGUGAUGGUGGUGGCAGUAGCGGCUGGGGUGGCAGCGGUGGCUGCAGCUGUUGCGGCGGUGGCUGCGGCAGUUGUGGUUACAGCAGUGGCUGCAGCUGUUGUGGAGGUGGCUGCGGCGGUUGUGGUGACAGCAGUGGCUGCAGUGGCUGCAGCUGUUGUGGAGGUGGCUGCAGCAGUUGUGGUGACAGCAGUGGCUGCAGUGGCUGCAGCUGUUGUGGAGGUGGCUGCAGCAGUUGUGGUGACAGCAGUGGCUGCAGUGGCUGCAGCUGUUGUGGAGGUGGCUGCAGCAGUUGUGGUGACAGCAGUGGCUGCAGUGGCUGCAGCUGUUGUGGAGGUGGCUGCAGCAGUUGUGGUGACAGCAGUGGCUGCAGUGGCUGCAGCUGUUGUGGAGGUGGCUGCAGCAGUUGUGGUGACAGCAGUGGCUGCAGUGGCUGCAGCUGUUGUGGAGGUGGCUGCAGCAGUUGUGGUCAAACAGCAGCUCCCGCAGAAUCGAUGCCGGCCGAGCCCUCGGCUGUUUGCUUUGGCAGCGCGGGCGGGGGCGGCUGGGCCGUGCUGGGGACGCCGGCAGCGGGAGGGGGACAAUCAAUGCUCCAGGGCCACAGGUUUGGUCGGGGGGUGGCUGUGCUCCCCCACCUCCCGCUCGCUGUGGAAUUCCUGGAGGAGGAUUUGAGGAAGGGCGAGGGUGGCCGGGCCAGGGCAGGGGGCUUGUGGGGCUGA
rnacentral:lncRNA from 1 species